UACAGAGGAUGCAAGCGUUAUCCGGAAUGAUUGGGCGUAAAGCGUCCGCAGGUGGCACCUCAAGUCUGCUGUCAAAGACCGGGGCUUAACCCCAGAAAGGCAGUGGAAACUGAAGUGCUAGAGUGCAGUAGGGGUAGAGGGAAUUCCCGGUGUAGCGGUGAAAUGCGUAGAGAUCGGGAAGAACAUCGGUGGCGAAAGCGCUCUGCUGGACUGCAACUGACACUCAGGGACGAAAGCUAGGGGAGCGAAUGGG
rnacentral:rRNA from 1 species